rnacentral:tRNA from 1 species
GGGGAUGUAGUUUUAAAAUUGGUAAAAUAUAUGUUUUGCAUACAUAAGAUUAUUGGUUCGAAUCCAAUCAUUUCCA